rnacentral:tRNA from 1 species
UCAUGAAUAGCUCAGUUGGUAAAGAAUCUGCCUGCAAUGUAGGAGACCCAGGUUCAAUCCCUGGGUCGGGAA